UAGGGAAUCUUCCGCAAUGGGCGAAAGCCUGACGGAGCAACGCCGCGUGAGUGAUGAAGGUCUUCGGAUCGUAAAACUCUGUUAUUAGGGAAGAACAAAUGUGUAAGUAACUAUGCACGUCUUGACGGUACCUAAUCAGAAAGCCACGGCUAACUACGUGCCAGCAGCCGCGGUAAUACGUAGGUGGCAAGCGUUAUCCGGAAUUAUUGGGCGUAAAGCGCGCGUAGGCGGUUUUUUAAGUCUGAUGUGAAAGCCCACGGCUCAACCGUGGAGGGUCAUUGGAAACUGGAAAACUUGAGUGCAGAAGAGGAAAGUGGAAUUCCAUGUGUAGCAGUGAAAUGCGCAGAGAUAUGGAGGAACAACAGUGGCGAAGGCGACUUUCUGGUCUGUAACUGACGCUGAUGUGCGAAAGCGUGGGGAUCAAACAGG
rnacentral:rRNA from 1 species